rnacentral:rRNA from 1 species
AGUGAACGCUGGCGGUAGGCCUAACACAUGCAAGUCGAACGGCAGCACAGUAAGAGCUUGCUCUUACGGGUGGCGAGUGGCGGACGGGUGAGGAAUACAUCGGAAUCUGCUUUUUCGUGGGGGAUAACGUAGGGAAACUUACGCUAAUACCGCAUACGACCUACGGGUGAAAGCAGGGGAUCUUCGGACCUUGCGCGAUUGAAUGAGCCGAUGUCGGAUUAGCUAGUUGGCGGGGUAAAGGCCCACCAAGGCGACGAUCCGUAGCUGGUCUGAGAGGAUGAUCAGCCACACUGGAACUGAGACACGGUCCAGACUCCUACGGGAGGCAGCAGUGGGGAAUAUUGGACAAUGGGCGCAAGCCUGAUCCAGCCAUACCGCGUGGGUGAAGAAGGCCUUCGGGUUGUAAAGCCCUUUUGUUGGGAAAGAAAAGCAGCAGGUUAAUACCCCGCUGUUCUGACGGUACCCAAAGAAUAAGCACCGGCUAACUUCGUA